rnacentral:rRNA from 1 species
CGUGUAGGCGGUCAGGUAAGUGGAAUGUGAAAUGCCCCGGCUCACCCGGGGACCCGGCAUCCCAAACUGCCUGGCUUGAGUAUGGGAGAGGAUGGAGGAAUUCCUGGUGUAGCGGUGAAAUGCGUAGAUAUCAGGAGGAACACCGGUGGCGAAGGCGUCCAUCUGGCCCAAUACUGACGCUGAGGCGCGAAAGCUAGGGGAGCAAACGG